ACGUCGGGAUCGGAACCGGCCCACCUCUCCUUCCCCAGAGGGGAUUUCACGAGCUCCGGUUUGCAGCCCGGCACCCCUCGGAGAGUCCCUCCAGGGUGCCUGAGUCGCGCCCAGCCUGUGCCUUCACAACUCGAUGCAGGGACCCGGGGAGGCGCGCGAGGACCGACCGGUCACCGCUCCAAUUACCUCAUCGCUUUAGCUCCCCGCCCCUUUCCCAAACCUGGAAGAACUGUCCCCUCCGGCCCCGGUCACCGCUCCCGCCCCGCGUCCCCCCCACCCCGACCCCCCCGCCAACCCCGAUCCCGAGCGGGUCUCGGGGAAACGCGCCCGCCUCCUCGGGGGGCUGCCGAGCCCCGGGAUGCGCGCACCCAAGGGUUAAGGGCGCCGGCCGGCGGCCGCGCCGGGCGCUCGCGGUGCUCAGAGCGGCUCGCCCCGCCGGAGGGUGGCCCCCCCAACCCCCCCCACCCCCACCGAAGUCGGAUCCUUGAGCUGCGGCGGCGGCAGCCAACUGCUCCAUAUUUGGCUUCUAUUACACAUUUACAUACUGGAGCGAGCGAGCGAGCGAGCGCGAGAGAGCGCGAGGGAGGGCGGGCGGAGGGAGGAGGGAGGGGAGGAGGGGGGAGGAGGAGGAGAGAGCAGAGUAUACCGCAGACAUCAUUUCUACUACAGUGGCGGAGCCGUACAGGACCUGUUUCACUGCAGGGGGAUCCAAAACAAGCCCUGUGGAGCAGCAGCCAGAGCUACCGCAGCCGCAAGACACUGUUUCUCUCCCUCUGCCCCCCCUUCCCCACGCAACCCCAGAUCCAUUUACACUUUACAGUGUUUACCUCACAAAAACUACUGCGAGCGCCAAGCUCCCUGAUGGAAAGGAGGAUCCGGCUGCAAAUCACCGAGGUGUUCCGUUCAAGCUGCAGAUUCGUCUGUCGUCUUUGGACAGCGGUCUCCUCCUCCACGGCUGCCUCGGGGGAGCCCGACACCCAUCAGGUCACAGAGAGUGCUGGUGGACAUCUCUCCCUGCCCCGAGAUCUUCGGUGGAAGUCCACGGGACUUGGUGUCUGGGCCAUUCAAAGUAUAUAUGAACUCACCAGGAGGCAUAAUGCGUCACCAUUUAAUUCUGGGCCACCCUAA
rnacentral:lncRNA from 1 species